AUCAACCAUAAAAUGGACUGUGCUGCGUUAUAACUUAACCAUUUUUCAUACUCAUUCGGGUUUGUGAUGUCUCAGUUGUUGGUAUAUAUUAUAUCUUCAUUCUGCAUCUUAAUACAUGGUUGAGGUGAAGUAAUUAAUUGCUUGGCCAUAUGAUAGUUCCUAAGUAAAUUUCAUCAGCAGAUUCAUAUGCUCUACCUUGGAUUUUCUCAGAUAGGUUCUGAAGUGUGAGUAUGCUAUUCGAGGAGAUGUUGUAACACUUGCUCAGCAAUUGCAAGAAGAUUUGAAGGCUAAGCAUGGUACUCACCCAUUUGAUGAGUUCUGACGCAAUAGAGCGAGCUUGGAAUAUUAUUGAUAUGAUUCCUGGGUAAGCAACUGGUGCCUAUAGUCAUAGUCAGCGUAUUAAAGGCCCGCGAGAUACAAUAGCCAAAGGAAUUGAAGAACGUGAUGGUUUUCCUGACAAUCCCAAUGACAUUUUCUUGACAGAUGGGGCAAGCCCAGCGGUAACAAUUUUUGAAUGCUGAGAGUGUAGUUUUUGUUUCACUUGAAAUUCUAGCUUUAAAGAUUUACAUGCUAAACUUAAUUAAUGGAAUGUGGAAGUCUACUAAUUUAUAUGAUUACUUUCUGUAGAUAUAAAGCCAUGUUAUUUUUUCUAUGAUCAUCAUGAUUUUCUCUUCCUUCAUGAAACCACUUCAUAAUUUUGAAGGUCAUAAAAAUAAUAUAGAUGAAGGAAAUAUUGUUUUAUUUACUAGUUUCCUACUAUAUAGUUUCCUUAAUGAUUAAAAUCAUAGUUUCGACACAGUAUAGUUAUAAAGCAAUAAUUUGUUUUCAGGAAGCUAUUUUGUAUCACUUUUAAGACAUUUAAAUUGAAACUAAAUUUGAUUUCACAAACAUUAGAAACAUUCA